rnacentral:tRNA from 1 species
AAGAAGUUAGUUAAAUUUAUAACAUUAGUAUGUCAAUCUAAAAUUAUUAAAACAUAAUACUUUUUU